rnacentral:rRNA from 1 species
AUGGGGAAUCUUGCGCAAUGGGCGAAAGCCUGACGCAGCCAUGCCGCGUGAAUGAUGAAGGUCUUAGGAUUGUAAAAUUCUUUCACCGGGGACGAUAAUGACGGUACCCGGAGAAGAAGCUCCGGCUAACUUCGUGCCAGCAGCCGCGGUAAUACGAAGGGGGCUAGCGUUGCUCGGAAUUACUGGGCGUAAAGGGCGCGUAGGCGGACAGCUUAGUCAGAGGUGAAAGCCCAGGGCUCAACCUUGGAAUUGCCUUUGAUACUGGCUGUCUUGAGUUUGGGAGAGGUGAGUGGAACUCCGAGUGUAGAGGUGAAAUUCGUAGAUAUUCGGAAGAACACCAGUGGCGAAGGCGACUCACUGGCCCAAUACUGACGCUGAGGCGCGAAAGCGUGGGGAGCAAACAGGAUUAGAUACCCUUGUAGUCC